CAUGACAUUCCGACUACGGUGCAUAGGAGUAGAGCUAAUUGUCCACAGCCUGAGGAAAUGGUUACUGUCAGUGUAGAUGGUUCUGUGCUUGAUCGAAUUUCUAAAAUCAUGUCAUAUUUACGUCUUGGAUCUUCUGGGAAGGUUCUCAAAAAGAAAAAGAAGGAUAGAGAUGUAAAAGGAAAGAUAUCUGCUCUGGCUCAUGAAUAUGAU